ensembl:snRNA U1 U1 spliceosomal RNA
AAAGUUCGCGGGGGUGAUGCCGUGAUCACGAAGGUGGUUCACCCAGGGCGAGGUUCUGCCAUUGUGCUUCGGUGGCGCUGACCCUUGCCAAUUCCCCAAAUGUGAGAAUCUCGACUGCAUAAUUUCCGGCCGUGGGGGACUGUGUUUGCAGGGGCAGUCG